rnacentral:rRNA from 1 species
UACGGAGGAGGCAAGCGUUAUCCGGAAUUAUUGGGCGUAAAGCGUCCGUAGGUGGUUUAGUAAGUCUGCUGUUAAAGCGCGGGGCUUAACUCCGUAUCGGCAGUGGAAACUACUAGACUAGAGUGUGGUAGGGGUAGAGGGAAUUCCCAGUGUAGCGGUGAAAUGCGCAGAUAUCAGGAGGAACACCGAUGGCGAAGGCAGGUCUCUGGGCAGUAACUGACGCUGAGGAGCGAAAGCGUGGGGAGCGAACAGG